UACACUCCUGCGGGAGGCAGCAGUGGGGAAUAUUGGACAAUGGGCGCAAGCCUGAUCCAGCCAUGCCGCGUGAGUGAUGAAGGCCCUAGGGUUGUAAAGCUCUUUCACCGGUGAAGAUAAUGACGGUAACCGGAGAAGAAGCCCCGGCUAACUUCGUGCCAGCAGCCGCGGUAAUACGAAGGGGGCUAGCGUUGUUCGGAUUUACUGGGCGUAAAGCGCACGUAGGCGGACUAUUAAGUCAGGGGUGAAAUCCCGGGGCUCAACCCCGGAACUGCCUUUGAUACUGGUAGUCUUGAGUUCGAGAGAGGUGAGUGGAAUUCCGAGUGUAGAGGUGAAAUUCGUAGAUAUUCGGAGGAACACCAGUGGCGAAGGCGGCUCACUGGCUCGAUACUGACGCUGAGGUGCGAAAGCGUGGGGGGCAAACAGGAUUAGAUACCCCUGUAGUCCCAUGAU
rnacentral:rRNA from 1 species